rnacentral:rRNA from 1 species
GACGAACGCUGGCGGCGUGCUUAACACAUGCAAGUCGAACGGAAAGGCCCUGCUUUUGUGGGGUGCUCGAGUGGCGAACGGGUGAGUAACACGUGAGUAACCUGCCCUUGACUUUGGGAUAACUUCAGGAAACUGGGGCUAAUACCGGAUAGGAGCUCCUGCUGCAUGGUGGGGGUUGGAAAGUUUCGGCGGUUGGGGAUGGACUCGCGGCUUAUCAGCUUGUUGGUGGGGUAGUGGCUUACCAAGGCUUUGACGGGUAGCCGGCCUGAGAGGGUGACCGGCCACAUUGGGACUGAGGUACGGCCCAGACUCCUACGGGAGGCAGCAGUGGGGAAUAUUGCACAAUGGGCGGAAGCCUGAUGCAGCAACGCCGCGUGCGGGAUGACGGCCUUCGGGUUGUAAACCGCUGUCGCCUGUGACGAAGCGUGAGUGACGGUAAUGGGUAAAGAAGCACCGGCUAACUACGUG